rnacentral:rRNA from 1 species
GAAAGCAGGGGAUCGUAAGGCCUUGCGCUUUUGGAGCGGCCGAUGUCUGAUUAGCUAGUUGGUGGGGUAAGGGCCUACCAAGGCGACGAUCAGUAGUUGGUCUGAGAGGACGACCAGCCACACUGGGACUGAGACACGGCCCAGACUCCUACGGGAGGCAGCAGUGGGGAAUUUUGGACAAUGGGCGCAAGCCUGAUCCAGCAAUGCCGCGUGAGUGAAGAAGGCCUUCGGGUUGUAAAGCUCUUUCAGUCGAGAAGAAAAGGCUACGGUAAAUAAUCGUAGUUCAUGACGGUACCGACAGAAGAAGCACCGGCUAACUACGUGCCAGCAGCCGCGGUAAUACGUAGGGUGCGAGCGUUAAUCGGAAUUACUGGGCGUAAAGGGUGCGCAGGCGGCUUUGUAAGUCAGAUGUGAAAUCCCCGGGCUUAACCUGGGAAUUGCGUUUGAAACUACAAAGCUAGA